UACGUAGGGGGCAAGCGUUGUCCGGAAUCAUUGGGCGUAAAGAGCGCGUAGGCGGCCCUGUAAGUCCGCUGUGAAAGUCAAGGGCUCAACCCUUGGAUGCCGGUGGAUACUGUCGGGCUCGAGUCCGGAAGAGGCGAGUGGAAUUCCUGGUGUAGCGGUGAAAUGCGCAGAUAUCAGGAGGAACACCAAUGGCGAAGGCAGCUCGCUGGGACGUGACUGACGCUGAGACGCGAAAGCGUGGGGAGCAAACAGG
rnacentral:rRNA from 1 species